CUGUUUCUGUCGUUAUUUCAAGAGUUUCCUCAAAGGUAACAGGAGUUUCUUCAGUUGGAACCACAGAAGAUUUCUGUUCUUCAACUUCAUGUUUGACAACAAUUUCAACUUCAGUUUUCUGAGAUGGUGUUUCCUCUGUUUCUGUUGUUAUUUCAAGGGUUUCCUCAAAAGUAACAGGAGUUUCUUCAGUUGGGACUUCAGAAGGCUUCUGUUCUUCAACUUCAGGUUUGACAACAAUUUCAACUUCAGUUUUCUGAGAUGGUGUUUCCUCUGUUUCUGUUGUUAUUUCAAGGGUUUCCUCAAAAGUAACAGGAGUUUCUUCAGUUGGGACCUCAGAAGGCUUCUGUUCUUCAACUUCAGUCUUCUCAGAAGGUAUUUCAGUUUCUUCUGUUGUGAUUUCAAGAGUUUCCUCAUAGGUAACUAUUGAUUCUUCAGUUGGGACUUCAGAAGGUUUCUCUUCCUCAACAUCAGGUUUGACAACAAUUUCAACUUCAG